ACAUUGCUCUCCAGCCGUCCCGUGUUGUUUGAUUAACUGUAGUAUUGUCUCUUUGCACAUAUCAGCAAAGCUUCAUCCUCUGACCUCACUGAGCUGCCAUGUAAAAGACAAAUCAUUGUUAGUCUAACCAAGGUGGUGAGAAAGUUGGGCAUGCAGGGGUGUGCUAGUCUGCUUUUGGCACUGUGACAAAUAACCCGAGGGUGAAAACAUUACAAAGAUUUGUUUUAGUUUACGGUUGCAUAUGCUUUGGUCCAUCAUAGUGGGAAGGGUAUAGUGGAAUAGAGUAAGUCACAUCAUGGUGACCAUGGAACAGAGACAAUGUCUGAGCUUGCAAUGUCUCUUUCUUCUUCUGCCUUGAUUUUAUUCAGACCUCAAGCUUAUGGGGUAUUUCAAUUCACAUUCAGGGACCCCAUAUGCCCAAAUGAAUCUUCCUGGGAAUUGUCCUCAUAAAUACAAAUAGAAGUAUACUUUACUGAUUCUUUAGGUGUCGCUAAAGCCAAUCAAAUUAACAGGUUUAGUCAUGACUAGGGAAAGUAACAUCAGAAAAGCAACUCAGAGGUGAGAGUCUAACAAAGAUGAAGGAAAGAAUUAAAUAAAUAAAACCCCCUAAUAUUAUCACACGUACAAAAGAGAGAGUUGUGGUCAAGAGAAGACUAUACUGAAGAGUUUUACCACCUAUGGGAGGCCUACAGAGUCAUACAAUUAGGUUAUCUCUCUUUACAUUUAGAAAACCAAGACAAUAAUAACUUCCUUGGUUAUAAUGCUACCUCACAGCAUUGUAAUAAGGAACUAUUUAAAACAAGAAUAUUUUGUAUUUGAAGUUGUACAGAAUUGUGAGGCAUCAUUCAGUUGAAUGUUUAUAACAGUGAUAGUUUUUAAGAAUUAUUUUAAAAACAUUCAUCUCUGCAGGAGUCCACAGAGAUAUUAUAAUAAAUUUGCAAAGGGUUUAUAUUGUAGUCACAGUACAACAUAGAUAAUAUGGUGAAUAAUUUAAGUGGUAGAAUCAUCUAUGUGGUAAAUAUUGCAUAAAUAAAAUUUACUUAGCACAUUAUUGAGGAUUUUGCUUGUGAUAGAGGGUUGACUAAAGAUUAGGCAAAAUACAGACAUGAAAAGCUUCAUGGUAGAACUCAGAGUUCACCAAUAGGAAAGUGUUGGGCCUGAUGGGCAUUUUCCCUCCAUCAUUUUAUUACCAGAAGUUCCUUUGCAAAUAUUGGCAAAGUGACUUCUACAAACAUAUGCCUACAUCAAUUUAUUUAUGUUUUAUUCUUUCACCAUUUCACAUAUGUGAAUUUUAGUAAUUUUCAUGUCUAUUAUCCUCUCUCACUCCUCCCCUUCUUCCCAGGAAGUCCCCUCCUAUUUUCAUGCCUUUUUAUUUAUGUGGCCACUGAGUUUAAUUCUGGGUUGUUUUGGUAAGUGGUUGUUUGGUUAGGAGUGUGUUGACUUAUAUUUUUCAAAACCUAUUUUAAUAAGCAUACUUAAAUAUUUUAACCUCCCUUCUAGUUCACCAGACAUUAGAGGUAAAGGAAAGGAAAGGUUAAUAGGGCCAAGGGGGAUGUGGACAUGUUUAGAUAUAGUUCUUUGGGGAAAAUCCAAUCUGCAUUGUCGGGAUAUCAGCUGUUCAAUUUAUAUAAAUCAGCAACAGCUUGUCAAUCAAAAAAAAAAAAAACCCCAACAACAACAACAAAACAAAAAACCCCAAAACUAAAAACAAACAAACAAACCAGGUUCUGCCCAAUAGCCCGAGUCUCUGGAAAUUACAAGAAGCACCAGGUGUUCUCUAGUGAGUUUUGCUCUAAGAAGUCACAACAAAUGAUGAUCAGCAGAGCGGCAAAGUGAACCAGUGUCACACAGCAUCAUCCAAUGUGUAUUGUAUUAUAUUUAUAUGCUUCCAAACAUUACAUGUUCUCUCAAGUGUUUGCUCAACCAAAAUAUUGCAUGUUCUUUUUCCAGUUAUCUUCCAGAAAAAUACCAUGGGGCUGUUCUCAGCAAAACAUCCCCACAUGUGUCUGCUUCAAGUAAAAACAUCCUCUCAUAAGACAGUUUCCAGAAAAAUGUCACAUAACACAACUGAGUCUCCAAAGAAACCAGAAAUUUCUACUUCAGGGAUGGGAGGUUAUUUACUAAAGCAUGAACAACUUAUCUGUGGUUACACCACUGAAGAAUGAGAUAGCCCUUUCCCAAGCAACCACUAAUUA
rnacentral:lncRNA from 1 species